rnacentral:rRNA from 1 species
GACGAACGCUGGCGGCGUGCUUAACACAUGCAAGUCGAACGGAAAGGCCCCUUUGGUGGUCCUCGAGCGGCGACCGCGUACGUAACACGAGCAUAACCUGCCCUUAACUACGGGAUAACUACAAGUACCUGGGGCUAAUACCGGAAACGAAUCAUUGCUGCAUGGUGGGGGUUGGAUAGCUUCGGGGGUUUUGGAUGGACUCGCGGCUUAUCGGCUUGUUGGUGGGGUAGUGGCUUACCAAGGCUUGGAAGGGUAGCCGGCCUGAGGGGGCGACCGGCCAUACUGGGACCGAGAUGCGGCCCAGACUCCGACGGUAGGCAGAAGUGGGGAAGAUUGAACGAGGGGCGGAAGCCUGAUGCAGCAACGCCGCGGGCGGGAUGACGGUCUUCGGGUUGUAAACCGCUUGCAGCAGGGGCUAAGCUUGUGGUGACGGUACCUGCAGAAGAAGCACCGGCUAACUACGUG